UACGUAGGGAGCAAGCGUUGUCCGGAAUCAUUGGGCGUAAAGCGCGCGUAGGCGGCCCUGUAAGUCCGUUGUGAAAGUCAAAGGCUCAACCUUUGAAAGCCGAUGGAUACUGCAGGGCUAGAGUCCGGAAGAGGCGAGUGGAAUUCCUGGUGUAGCGGUGGAAUGCGUAGAGAUCGGGAAGAACAUCAGUGGCGAAGGCGGCCUGCUGGGCUGUUGCUGACGCUGAGGCGCGACAGCGUGGGGAGCAAACAGG
rnacentral:rRNA from 1 species